rnacentral:rRNA from 1 species
UGUGUUUAAUUCGAAGAUACACGAAGAACCUUACCAGGUCUUGACAUACCAUUGACAGGCACAGAGAUGUGCUUCUCCUUCGGGCAAUGGAUACAGGUGGUGCAUGGUUGUCGUCAGCUCGUGCCGUGAGGUGUUGGGUUAAGUCCCGCAACGAGCGCAACCCUCAUUGUUAGUUACUACCAUUCAGUUGAGGACUCUAAUGAGACUGCCAACGACAAGUUGGAGGAAGGUGGGGAUGACGUCAAAUCAUCAUGCCCUUUAUGACCUGGGCUACAAACGUACUACAAUGGCCAAUACAAAGAGAUGCGAAGCGGUGACGUGGAGCGAACCUCAGAAAGUUGGUCUCAGUUCAGAUUGAAGUCUGCAACUCGACUUCAUGAAGGCGGAAUCGCUAGUAAUCGCGGAUCAGCACGCCGCGGUGAAUACGUUCCCGGGCCUU